rnacentral:rRNA from 1 species
UACGGAGGGCGCGAGCGUUAAUCGGAAUUACUGGGCGUAAAGCGCGCGUAGGCUGUUGUGUAAGUUGGGGGUGAAAUCCCACGGCUCAACCGUGGAACAGCCCUUGAUACUGCGCGACUUGAAUCCGGGAGAGGGUGGCGGAAUUCCAGGUGUAGGAGUGAAAUCCGUAGAUAUCUGGAGGAACAUCAGUGGCGAAGGCGGCCACCUGGACCGGUAUUGACGCUGAGGCGCGAAAGCGUGGGGGGCAAACAGG